rnacentral:ncRNA from 2 species
CAAUGCAAUAGAGGUUGCGACAAUCACAAGUUAAGUUUGAGUUCGCGAAAACAAUGAUAGUUAACUUAGGGUUGCCGCCGAAAUAGAUUUAAUAUUCGCGUGUUAAUCUGUUGGGCUAUAGAAGAAUAUUCUAUAGACUGUCCUGGUUAGUCCCCAGGGAGCGCUAUAAGAUUU